rnacentral:autocatalytically_spliced_intron from 1 species
CCCUCCUCAGAUUUUUUGAAAAAAUCUGAGGAGGG